GAUGAAGAACGCAGCGAAAUGCGAUAAGUAAUGUGAAUUGCAGAAUUCAGUGAAUCAUCGAAUCUUUGAACGCACAUUGCGCCCGCUAGUAUUCUGGCGGGCAUGCCUGUCCGAGCGUCAUUUCAACCCUCAAGCCCCUCCGGGGGCCUGGCGUUGGGGAUCGGCCCCGCUCCGGCGGCCGGCCCCGAAAUGUAGUGGCGGUCUCGCCGCUGCCUCCUCUGCGUAGUAGAAACACCUCGCAUUGGGACGCGGCGGGCCCACGCCGUUAACCAGAUGAAUUUUUUCAAGGUUGACCUCGGAUCAGGUAGGAAUACCCGCUGAACUUAAGCAUAUUCAAUAAGCGGAGGA
rnacentral:misc_RNA from 1 species